AAAACGAGAUCCCGAAUGCAUUUCCCUUGAAAAGUCCCAGCGCGUCUGUGAGUGACUCGCAUCGAGAGUGCCGCAUAGAGAGAGGAAAAAAAAAACGAUCCAAAGCGAAGAAACGGCAAUGGUGAAUGGUGAUUGACUGUUCUCUUCUGAUUCAUGAUCAUGUUCUCAGUCCUUCUUCAUGAGAAGAAGUGAUAGCUUAGCGAAACUAUAUGGAGCUGGGGUGAAGACACUGGAUGCAGCGGUUCAUCGAUCUCUUCCUGAUUUUUUGUGUGGGAAAACACAAAGCAUGAAUUGGUCGAUAAACCUCUGCAUCCAAUGCUUACUUGGUCUCUUUCAGUAUUUUCGGUGCCAUCAGUUUGGUCGCCUUGCCGAGCUUAGUUUUCUUGCUUUUAUCUCCGUUUCAGCAGUUUCAAGUUGUUUCUUGUCGAGAAAUUCUUAUUAUUUUCUUGGAACUUAUUGCUUGAUUUCCAAUAACAUUGCUGUAUGGCCUUUUAAUGAUCGAUUCGCCAGUUGCUGUCCUGUCGAUUACCGUUUAAAAAUUUACAUGUUUCAGCUUCCAGCUUGCAUAUGUCAUCAUGCAUUAUAAUAUCAUUCAUGGCUGAUUUUCAUUGUAGGAGAUAUGCAUGAUCUGUAACUAUAGGUUAGAUGAACUGACCUCCCCCGAUGUUGCCGAUAGUACUGCGGCUGCCGACAUUCCCAUUUUGUGAUGCUCUUAGGCUGGCAAACUAGAUCUUAUAUUAAGUGGGGUAGUUCAUGAUCUAUCGCAUUUAUCCUGUUAAGUUUUGAGAGAAUAUUCUUAGGCGGAUUUCUACUUUAAUUUUACUUUCGGUGUUCAUGUCCUUCACUCUCCUGCUCUCAAGCCUCUCAGCAAGAAAAUAGCAUUCUCGCAGCUCACUUUUUAUCAUCUAUAUAGCCCCAUUGGAACAUUGCUGAGAUGGUAAAGCCUCUUACCAAUUGAUAAGAAGUUUUCAAUUGGUGGGUUAAUCAAGAACGGCUAGUACAUCCCUUUUUAAUCUAUUUCUUACAAGUAUAUGUGAAUUUAGGGUAAUCGUGUUUAAUUGUGUUCUUACCUGUCUGAAGCACCAUUUUGAUGAUUUUUUUUGUUCUUGAAAUUGUCCCGCUUUCAUUUCCCCCCUGUUCAAGUGUAAAAUAUAAAAUAUCAGUCUUUAUUCGAGCUUCGAGGCAUCGUUGGUUGCAGAUCAGGCAUACUUAAUAUGUUUCAUAUCAUAUUGGUGCCGCCUCUUUUUAUGUGGUGCAUGUUUCAUGCAGAGACUUUUUCAUUUUUUGAUUAAUUGCCCCAAAUGCUGGUUUGAAAUGUGAUGUAAUCAACCAGAAAGUUUAUCUCCAUUCAGUUAUGAAAUUUGGAGCUCCUUAUUGGAUUGUAGAGCUUUCUUAACAUGGUCAUGGAGCCAUGGGUGUGAAAUGCUAAUUGCCAUCGGCAAGUCAUUUUCUUCAUUUCUUAAGCAUAUAUAGAUGGUUUGAAGGUCCCUGCUUGUUGCUUUCUUGUAAAGGAAAAGGUAUCUUUGGAAAGCAGGAUUUCCUCCAAGGGGUAGGUCAGGUGUAGGCCGGGCCUACCGAACAAUAUUAAACAUUACGACUGAGAAGGAAGGCUACAGUGGAUGGAGUACAACUUGCUGGGGAAUCUUGUUGCUAAUGAUGUUUACGGGAAUCUGGAUCAAAUUCUCCUGAGUUAAUCAUAUCUAAUCCUACUAAGGCUCGGUUUGGAUCAGUUGUUGCGUGGAAUUAAUAGAACUCAUUGAAGAACUUAUAAACUGUUCGUAUUUUGGUAAUCAA